AGCUGUUCCCCUCUGGAGGUUUAAUUUACCUUCACACCUAAUGGGCCGCGGUUUCCGCUGGCCCACUUUUUUUGUCUAU
rnacentral:misc_RNA from 1 species